AAGCUCUCCGAGUGGUAGGGAUGAUUAUUGGGCUUAAAGCGUCCGUAGCCGGCUCUUCAAGUCUUUCGUUAAAGCCAGCGAUCUAAUCGUUGGACUGCGAGAGAUACUGCUGGGCUAGGGGGCGGGAGAAGUCGACGGUAUUUCCGGGGUAGGAGUGAAAUCCUAUAAUCCCGGGAGGACCACCAGUGGCGAAGGCGGUCGACUAGAACGCGCUCGACGGUGAGGGACGAAAGCUGGGGGAGCGAACC
rnacentral:rRNA from 1 species